GCAUAUCAAUAAGCGGAGGAAAAGAAACCAACAGGGAUUGCCUUAGUAACUGCGAGUGAAGCGGCAAAAGCUCAAAUUUGAAAUCUGACGUUUUUGACGUUCGAAUUGUAAUUUGGAGGGAUAUCUUCGGAGCAGGCGCUGUCCUAAGUUCUUUGGAACCAGACAUCAUAGAGGGUGAGAAUCCCGUGCCUGGGUGGCUGUCCCGCUCCAUGUGAAGUGUCUCCGACGAGUCGAGUUGUUUGGGAAUGCAGCUCAAAAUGGGUGGUAAAUUUCAUCUAAAGCUAAAUAUUGGCGAGAGACCGAUAGCGCACAAGUAGAGUGAUCGAAAGAUGAAAAGCACUUUGAAAAGAGAGUUAAACAGUACGUGAAAUUGUUGAAAGGGAAGCGCUUGAGACUAGAUUCGGCCGGCGGUCAUCAGCUACGUUUUUGCGUGGUGCACUUGCCGUCGGUUGAGCCAGCAUCGGUUUUGAUGGCGGGAUAAAGGUUUCAGGAAUGUGGCUCCUCAAUUUUGAGGAGUGUUAUAGCCUGGAGCGCAAUGCUGCCUGUCGGGACCGAGGACCGCGCUUUUGCUAGGAUGCUGGCUAAAAGGUCUUAAGCGGCCCGUCUUGAAACACGGACCAAGGAGUCUAACAUCUAUGCGAGUGUUCGGGUGGAAAACCCUUGCGCGUAAUGAAAGUGAACGGAGGUGGGAACCCCUUUGGGGUGCACCAUCGACCGAUCCCGAUGUUUACGGAAGGAUUUGAGUAGGAGCAUAGCUGUUGGGACCCGAAAGAUGGUGAACUAUGCCUGAAUAGGGUGAAGCCAGAGGAAACCUUGGUGGAAGCUCGCAGCGGUUCUGACGUGCAAAUCGAUCGUCAAAUUUGGGUAUAGGGGCGAAAGACUAAUCGAACCAUCUAG
rnacentral:rRNA from 1 species